rnacentral:rRNA from 1 species
CACGUGAGGGCGCAAGCGUUGUCCGGAAUUAUUGGGCGUAAAGAGCUCGUAGGCGGUCUGUUGCGUCCGCUGUGAAAACUCGGGGCUUAACCCCGAGCCUGCAGUGGAUACGGGCAGACUAGAGGUAGGUAGGGGAGAAUGGAAUUCCCGGUGUAGCGGUGAAAUGCGCAGAUAUCGGGAGGAACACCUGUGGCGAAAGCGGCGCACUGGACCAUAACUGACGCUGAUGCGCGAAAGCUAGGGGAGCAAACAGG